GAUGAACGCUGGCGGCGUGCCUAAUACAUGCAAGUCGAGCGAACAGAUAAGGAGCUUGCUCCUUUGACGUUAGCGGCGGACGGGUGAGUAACACGUGGGUAACCUACCUAUAAGACUGGGAUAACUUCGGGAAACCGGAGCUAAUACCGGAUAACAUUUGGAACCGCAUGGUUCUAAAGUGAAAGAUGGUUUUGCUAUCACUUAUAGAUGGACCCGCGCCGUAUUAGCUAGUUGGUAAGGUAACGGCUUACCAAGGCGACGAUACAUAGCCGACCUGAGAGGGUGAUCGGCCACACUGGAACUGAGACACGGUCCAGACUCCUACGGGAGGCAGCAGUAGGGAAUCUUCCGCAAUGGGCGAAAGCCUGACGGAGCAACGCCGCGUGAGUGAUGAAGGGUUUCGGCUCGUAAAACUCUGUUAUUAGGGAAGAACAAAUGUGUAAGUAACUGUGCACGUCCUGACGGUACCUAAUCAGAAAGCCACGGCUAACUACGUG
rnacentral:rRNA from 1 species